rnacentral:pre_miRNA from 1 species
GCAACAAUUACAGGGCAACAUCUCCAUUGGCAGGCAGCCACUAAUUAGCACAUAUAUAUGCAUGGAUCGAUAUUCAAAAAAUUCAUGCAUUAUAUAUUAUAUUAACAUAGUGUGCCCUCUGCCAAAGGAGAUUUGCCCGGCAAUUCUUUU